AGUGAACGCUGGCGGUAGGCCUAACACAUGCAAGUCGAACGGCAGCACAGUAAGAGCUUGCUCUUACGGGUGGCGAGUGGCGGACGGGUGAGGUAUACAUCGGAAUCUACUUUUUCGUGGGGGAUAACGUAGGGAAACUUACGCUAAUACCGCAUACGACCUACGGGUGAAAGCAGUGGAUCUUCUGACCUUGCGCGAUUGAAUGAGCCGAUGUCGGAUUAGCUAGUUGGCGGGGUAAAGCCCCACCAAGUCGACGAUCCGUAGCUGGUCUGAGAGGAUGAUAAGCGACACUGGAACGGAGACACGGUCCAGACUCCUACGGGAGGCAGCAGUGGGGAAUAUUGGACAAUGGGCGCAAGCCUGAUCCAGCCAUAGCGCGUGGGUGAAGAAGGCCUUCGGGUUGUAAAGCCCUUUUGUUGGGAAAGAAAAGCAGCAGGUUAAUACCACGCUGUUCUGACGGUACCCAAAGAAUAAGCACCGGCUAACUUCGUG
rnacentral:rRNA from 1 species